rnacentral:pre_miRNA from 3 species
AGCUCCUUGUUGGAGAAGCAGGGCACGUGCAAGUCUCUUGGAUCUCAAAUGCCACUGAACCCUUUGCACGUGCUCCCCUUCUCCAACACGGGUUU